rnacentral:lncRNA from 1 species
CUCUUUCUUGUAAUUUCAAAAUGAUGCAUCUCAUAAUCGUAAAAAGUCCUUUGUUUGUUGGCCGAGAUAAGGAAAGAUUAUAAUAGCGUGAGGAGACUGUGGACGGAAGAUUAUAAUGGUUGGAAUGUUGUGAGGUAAAUAUUGAUAGAAAUGCAAUUUUUUGAAAAGGAAGUAAUGAGUAAUAUGAUCUUAUUUAUUAGCAAUGUUAUUAGAUUUCGGGACCAACUUCUGUAACCAAAUGAGGGGAUAACAAUCUCACCUCUUGCUAUCCCC